UAUCAUAGAAGUUCUAAGGUGAACUGCAAGUUAUUAUAACUUAUAAGCUCACAUAGGCCUCCCUUGUUCUCAGCUCUGAAACUGAAGUUUUCUGUCCUCAGAUAUUGAAGGAUGUUAUCAUCAAGUUUUGGUAUCUUGUUACCUAUCUUCCGAGCAUGCUGUUAAGGCUGUUUAUUUCAUUUGUACCAUUUGAGUUUCCCUAGCAAGGCUGUUUGUAAAUGUUUUGUUUGUAUUGUAAUUUCGUUUGGUGGAAAAAAGUGUUUCAGUAACAUUAUAUUAUUCAGACAUGUACACGGGCAUGUUUAUUUGAGUGGACAGAUAUAUAUCUGUUUAGCAUGAAA